rnacentral:lncRNA from 1 species
CCUCCUAACCAUCUCCAGGGGAUUAAAUGCAGAUCAUACUGCCUGUCAGGCUUCCUGGCAACAGCAGUUUGCUAUUUUAAUAAAUGAUGUUAUGUAAUUACUGGAAAUUAGAUAGGAUUCGUUCAUUUCAUGCCAUAGCAGGUGUGAAGCUAAAAUCUGCAAAUUAUGGAAGAAUAAUGUUGGUACUUAAUCAUCUCUGCGCAACUUGUAAUUCUGUUGUAUGUUGAAUGUGAAGAGGUAAAAACCAAGAAUUGGCCAUGAUUGGAGGAGCUUUGGCUAAAUUGUCCAUCAUUCCCCAUCUUUUUGUGAUUCUUUCAACAUAUUUGUGGUUAUCUCAGUUCUAUAUGAAGGGGGCUUUCUGCUCUUACAAUAGAAGCUGAUAAGUAUGAUUGAUGUGCUUUUCUUGAGAUAAAGCAAAUGAAAAGCUGGGGAUUGGGAAGGGUGGGGUGUUAAAAUGGUCAGAUAGCCACUUCGUUUUGGGUGAUUAAUUUUUUCUCUUGUCGUGCUAUUUCAUGUUGAAACAGGUUGAGGAGUUGUAUUCUUUGGAUCUUGAUGAGCUCAACAGUCUUAGGUAAACUAAUUCUGCCAUGUUAACAUUAAUUGUAUGAUUCUGCAAACAGUUUAUUCUCAGAAGCUUCAAGCUUGUGUUUCCCCAAUUCUUUCAAAAAGGAAAUAACACUUAAUCUUAUGAUUUUUCACAGGCCUGUGUAUGGCUUGGUAUUCCUUUUCAAAUGGCGUCCGGGUGAAAAAGAUGAUCGCCUUGUGAUCAAGGAUCCAAACCCAAACUUAUUCUUUGCUAGUCAGGUUAAAUGGCUUUACAUGAUAUGUGUGGUUAAACUAACGGAAGUUGCUUAGCACUAUGACUAGUAACUCUUUUGAUGACGUGAAACAGGUGAUAAACAAUGCCUGUGCUACCCAAGCAAUCCUGUCAAUUCUCCUGAACAGUCCAGAUGUUGAUAUAGGCCCAGAACUAUCAGCACUAAAAGAAUUCACUAAGAAUUUCCCAGCAGAGCUUAAAGGCUUAGCUAUCAACAACAGUGAAGCAAUUCGCACAGCCCAUAAUAGUUUUGCAAGACCUGAGCCAUUUGUGCCUGAAGAACAGAAGGCUGCUGCAAAAGAUGAUGAUGUAUACCAUUUUAUCAGCUAUAUACCUGUGGAUGGUGUGUUGUAUGAGCUCGAUGGAUUGAAGGAGGGACCAAUC